AAAAAAAUUAUUUUGUGUUACAGUGAAUUUCCUUUAAAUCAGGCAAUGUCUGUUAUUCUUUGAAACACGAAACUCGACUGCGACAUGGCAAAGGAACGCGGAAUUGUCGCAGAAAUUUUAUCUUUAAAACAUUUCGAGAAGGAACUCAGUUCACGUUUGGCGAGAUUUUCACUAGUUUCUAGACAGUGCCUUUGAGACACAAAGACGUUGAUGGUCAGCGGUAAUAUACAAGAACUUGAGGAUAAAAAUCACGAGGAAAGCGAUUUGUUUGAAAAGUACAUCAGCAACGAUGAUAUUUUGGAUGGCAUCGUAAGAAGAUGGUGGACGAGAUUACAAGAAUGACUUACCAUCCAGGUAUACUUGCUAUCAGACUUAUGGCGCGUGCAAAUAUUUGUUGCACAAAUAGGAUAUUGUGUCCCACUUAUCCGUUUGUAACCGUUACAUAGCAGAAAUUGUGUCCCCAAUGAUUCGUUUGUAACCUUUACGCAGCAGAAUUUGUAGCGUUGUUGGUGUAAAUCAUCGGUAGCUUGAGUUGAAUAACAAAACAUAUUUGUUCAUUUAAACACGAUUUUUAAAAUCUUUACUUUGGAGGAAAAAAUUGCGUUUUGAAAUUGCGUUUUGAAUCAAGUUUCAAAAUAUAGAAAAAAAAUUUUUGCCGGAAAAUUUCGAACACUCGUUCUGUAUCGUCGAAGUCAUUGAGACUUCAGUGUUUACUACUGGCGUAACGGACUUCUAAGUCGCAAUAACCUUAUUUUCUUGCGCUUGGUUGAAAAAUGAUGCAGUUGUUUAAAAAUAAGUGUCAUUAAUUAACAUGAUGUCACGUGACUUCAAGUAGAUGUUUGCCAAGAUGCUUAACACUUCGGUGAAAAUGGCUUUUAUCAAACUGAAUAAAAUACAAUGAAAAAAAAUACAUCGAAUAUUUCAUAAA